GACAGAGGGUGCAAACGUUGUUCGGAAUUACUGGGCGUAAAGCGUGUGUAGGCGGCUACGUAAGUCGGAUGUGAAAGCCCCAGGCUCAACCUGGGAAGUGCACUCGAUACUGCGUAGCUUGAGUAUCGGAGAGGUUGGUGGAAUUCUCGGUGUAGAGGUGAAAUUCGUAGAUAUCGAGAGGAACACCGGUGGCGAAGGCGGGUCUCUGGGCCGAUACUGACGCUGAGGAGCGAAAGCGUGGGGAGCGAACAGG
rnacentral:rRNA from 1 species